GGGGCACCUCACUGUCUGACGCUGGUGACUCCUGGUGUGAGGCUUCUGUGGGGGGACAUGAGGAAGACAGUCAGUAAUCAAAGCCCCUCAUCCACUCCAUCUCCUGCUAGAGACUGAGCAUCCUGGUAUGUUGCCAUGAGAAACCAGAUAGACAAGUUAGUGCACAAAAUUUAGUAGCCCUGGCCCUGGCCAAGAGCAACAAACUACUUAUAGAAAAAAAAGGCCCACUGAGAUAGCAGUUCCCAAAGAGUUUCACUGUGUGGCUCAAAGCAACACACACCUGGGGGAGAGAACGGAGAGUGUUCCCGGUGGUUGUUGUCCCGAGACUCCCCGGAGCUGCUCCUGUAGUCCGCGUUGUCACUGGCAUGGAAGGUGUGGUGCAGCAGCAGGUCUUCUCGCAGCUGGUUGAGGUGCUGCUGCUGACAAUUGAGGGUGUGCAGGCACUGGAAUGCAACCUGCCACACACAACCAUAGUAAUCAAGAUAAAUGAGGGUGAAGAAUACCUGCCACCAGGACCACCCACCUGAUGAAGUGGACAUGUAGGGAUGGCUGUGGGAGUGUGAGCGCUGCAGGUAGAGGGUGUGGCCGCGGGACACAGCCAAGGACC